UGUAUGUAUAUACGGAAAGCUCGUUCGCCAUAAUAAGAAUGAGGUUCGAUUGCAUGACCGUUACGUUAGAAGAAGGGACGCGCGUGUGAAAGAACGUGUAAACGAUGAAAUUCCUCUUUUUUUUUUUUUCUUUCCUCCCUCUCUCACCAUUGCUUCGAUAUUUCGUGUACCAUUAUUUUCGACCUUUUAACCCUCUCCCUCUCUUCUCAUCGAAAGAUAAGAAUAGAUUCACGUCGUACUCCACAUCUUCGGCGAAGAGGCUACCUUGUAGGCUCAUUUAUCAAAACGAUGACGGAGUCGCUUCAACGACGGCACAAUAACGACGACGACACACGAAACGACACCGAGAUUUUCUUUUAUCGCGUCGAAAGUACAUCGAGAAACGUUCAACUCGCGUAAGCGAUCUUCGUACACAUUUAUCUUCUACCACUCGUUUUCAAUCGGUGGCGGCGGCGGUAGCAGCGGCGGCUAGACUCGUGCAGAAAAAGUACAAAGGUUUUUCUAUUCUUUUUUAGUUACGUAUGUACGCCGUUGUUGACGGGUGCGCUUAUAUCGUUAUCGACGGUCGCGCGCUCUGUUGGGAAAGUUUCGCGUCUUGAAAACGAAAUGAGACUAGCAGCGCCAUUUGGUAGAAGCGACGGCAGACGAUUAUAAUUCUAUUUACAAACUUUGUCUUUUGGAUGUUUACUACUGAAAUCUUUGAUCGCUGAUUGGUUCAUUCGACGGUUCGUCUAAAUCGAGCUGCGAUUGGCUCCUGACGACACAAUGUAUUUUUUCAGCGGUAUUUUUUCUUUAUAGAAAAUUUUUAAAUGUAUACUUUUUUUUUUUUUUAUAAUAUAAUAUAAUAUGGAUAAUAUUUUUAUUAAAAACAUUUUUCUUGCCUUUUAUUCUACCAACAACGGACAUUGAAAAUAUAUCGGCGAUCAUUGGUACAGUUACUGUACAAAACAUAUUUAUUUAAUAAUUUAUAGAUAUACGCACACAGUGUACAAUAUACAAGCCCUAACGCUGUUAAGCGCAGCUGCUACUUUGCAAAAUACACUUCUCAACAUUCUAA